rnacentral:lncRNA from 1 species
UCGAGGCUGUCCUUGUCGCAUGCUGUACGGUUCGAUCGUUCCCUACAUCGACCUAUCAUGAAGAUUGCUUUCUUGAGCCUUCGGAUCCUUUUAAUUGCAUCGUUUAUAUUGCUAUCUUUCAUGCACGAAUAUCGGGCGUUUGCUCUUGGACCAAUGCAUCAUGGUCGCGGAAAGCGUGGAUGUCGGACAGGACUGCAGAACUGUAUGAGCGCAACUCAACGCACUACACCGCGGACAAGACCGCCCAAUCCUUUUCCACCAUUUCGAGGACCAGGAAGCAAAGGUCGCUGAUCGGGACCGUAACAUGGAUAACGGGGCCCAGCGAUUCUGCUGCACAGCGCUGAUCUCAACGACAAAUUUGAGGACUUAGCAUUUCAGCUUUGUUUCAGAAAACACGUUCGUUGCAUAUGUUUUACCGUAGAAACUAAAAAGUGUUUUGACCGGAAAUUUCACUGUAUGCCGUGCUUGUAUUUAAUCGUAAAAUAUAGAUGUUUCAUUCAGCCAAAAGGAAAGAAAAGUAUCUGUGGAUUCUGUUAAACAUUGAUCUUUUGCUGAAUUUUAGGGUAUGCAAAAGAAAUAAACAGCACCUCGUCUGUCAUGAAAGCAAA